GCACUGCUGAGGAGUCCCAUAAUAGGACGGAACGGCCGCCCAGUGU
rnacentral:hammerhead_ribozyme from 1 species